GCGCAAUCUCGGCUCACCGCAACCUCUGCUUCCUGGGUUCAAGCAAUUCUCCUGCCUCAGCCUCCUGAGUCGCUGGGAUUACAGGCACAUGCCACCAUGCCCAGCUAAUUUUUGUAUAUUUAGUAGAGACGGGUUUCACCAUGUUGGCCAAGCUGGUCUGAAACUCCUGACCUCAGGUGAUCCACCUGCCUCACCCAAAGUGCUGGGAUUACAGGUGUGAGCUACCACACCCUGCCUAGUUUUUGUAUUUUUUGUAGAGACAGGGUUUCACCAUGUUGGCCAGGCUGGUCUCAAACUCCUGACCUCAGGUGAUCUGCCUGCUUCAGCCUCCCAAAGUGCUGGGAUUAGAGGUGUGAGCCACUACACCCAGCCUAAUGUUUUAAUUUUUAAUAGAGAUGGGGGUCUCACUAUGUUGCCCAAGCUGGUCUCAAACUCCUAGGCUCAAGUAAUUCUCCAAAAGUGUUGGGAUUACAGAUGUGAACCACUGUGCCCAGCCCAAAAUCUUAUUUUAGUAAUUGACCCAAUAGUGCCCUUUGUAGCAUUCCAUAGUGCAGGAUCUAGUCAGCCUAAGAUUAGAUAUUGCAUUUAGUUGUCCUGUCUUGUAGGCUCCAUCAAUGAGGAACACUUCCACAGCCCUUCUUUGCUUUUAUGAGUACAGUAGUGGUUCUCAGCUGGAGGAUUUCUCCUACAGUCGGAGGGAAAACCCGGGAAUGAGGAAUGCUGAUGGACAUAGCACUAUCAGAGGACUUGAUCCUGUUUCUCAGAGAGGAAGACAGACACUCUUAGCAUAAUGAGGGUCAAAAGUUGGGCCAGGCCGGGCACGGUGGCUCACGCCUGUAAUCCCAGCAC
rnacentral:lncRNA from 1 species